AAAUGCGAUAAGUAGUGUGAAUUGCAGAAUUCAGUGAAUCAUCGAAUCUUUGAACGCACAUUGCGCCCCUUGGUAUUCCAUGGGGCAUGCCUGUUCGAGCAUCAUUUGUACCCUCAAGCUCUGCUUGGUGUUGGGUGUUUGUCCCGUCUCCGCGCGUGGACUCGCCCCAAAGUGAUUGGCAGCCGGCGUACUGGUCCCGGAGCGCAGCACAUGUCGCGCAAACGAGUGCCUUGGUACGGCGGCGUCCAUAAGCCCCUCUCUCACGCUCUUGACCUCGGAUCAGGUAGGGAUACCCGCUGAACUUAAGC
rnacentral:misc_RNA from 1 species